UUUGUGGUUAUCACUCGAAGACAUAAAUCAGAUAGCUAUCAAUGAAGCUGCAAAAGAUUGGGGCUUGCAAUGUCUUCGUUGUGAAACAAGGGAUAUAUCUCCUCCCUGUGGUGUAAAAGAAGGUAUGGGGAUGCAGGCAGAAGCUGAGCAGAAAAAGAGAGCCCAAAUUCUAGAGUCGGAAGGUAAUAAAACCCAUAUAAGGUGAUCUUUAUAUACCUUAAAUUUUACAAGGUGCAGCAUAUCAUCAUAAUCAGUGUAUUUGUUUCAAACUGGAGUGGCGAACAUGUGCUAAAACAUGCAUGCUUGUCAUUCUGGAAGUUUAUACCAUAUAUUCUAAUAUUCAUUUUCUGUAAAUUCAUUGAGACAUUUUGGAACAUAAUCAAGCCAUGGGAAAUCUUAGAAUUGUUAAUUUACUCUUUAACAACCUAUAUUUGCAUGCCUUGUCACUCGUACUGAGAGCCUAAAGUUUUAUGUGUUAAUCCAUUUCAUGGGUGAAUGGACCUGUAAUAGAUAGUUUUCCAUUUCCAUGCACGAAAUAUGUGAUUACGAACUUCUGCUAUACUCAUAUAUUUAACAUAUGUAAUUUUCUAUUUUUCAGAAGAAAGACAACCAAGUGUUAACAUUGCUGAUGGAAAGAAGAGUUCCAUGAUGUUGGAAGUUCAGGGUAAGUUGGCAUAUGGAAUUAAGAAGCUUAAAUAUAGAGCUAUUUUAACCUUGUUAUUUAUGUUAGUUUAGGAGAAGCAGAGGCUAUUUUUGGCUAGAUCUCAAGCAACAAAUAAAGGAGUUGCUUUGGUUUCUCAAGCUCUUCAAGAAAAUGGAGGAGUUGAGGGUAUCUAAAGUGGACCAUAUAGCAUGUUGAAUCUUUCUGACAUGCAUGCCAUCAUCAAUAAUUGUGGUCCUGCUGCACUUGCAAGGUUGAAGGUUUACGAAGGGGUUCCCCCUCCUUACAACAGGAAGAAGAGGAUGGUUAUCCCCGAUGUUCUCAAGUUAGUCUAUAUCCUUUCUUUCAGCACUUUUAUGCUAUUUCUGGGUUUUUGUUGAAUUAGAAUGCUUUAUUGUUUGCUUGUUUAGUAUGAUGUGUAAUUGCAAUACUUUUGUCAAU